GGCCGCGUGGCGAAAUGGCAUCGCGUCAGUUUCCGGUUUUACAGGCAUUGUGCCGGAUCUCUUCUCCUCUAGCUGAAGAUUGUGGGUUCGAGUCCCGUCGUGGUCG